rnacentral:rRNA from 1 species
CACUCCUACGGGAGGCAGCAGUGGGGAAUUUUGGACAAUGGGCGAAAGCCUGAUCCAGCCAUGCCGCGUGCAGGAUGAAGGCCUUCGGGUUGUAAACUGCUUUUGUACGGAACGAAACGGCCUUUUCUAAUAAAGAGGGCUAAUGACGGUACCGUAAGAAUAAGCACCGGCUAACUACGUGCCAGCAGCCGCGGUAAUACGUAGGGUGCAAGCGUUAAUCGGAAUUACUGGGCGUAAAGCGUGCGCAGGCGGUUAUGUAAGACAGUUGUGAAAUCCCCGGGCUCAACCUGGGAACUGCAUCUGUGACUGCAUAGCUAGAGUACGGUAGAGGGGGAUGGAAUUCCGCGUGUAGCAGUGAAAUGCGUAGAUAUGCGGAGGAACACCGAUGGCGAAGGCAAUCCCCUGGACCUGUACUGACGCUCAUGCACGAAAGCGUGGGGAGCAAACAGGAUUAGAUACCCCAGUAGUCCCA